rnacentral:rRNA from 1 species
GACGAACGCUGGCGGCGUGCUUAACACAUGCAAGUCGAGCGGUAAGGCCCUUCGGGGUACGACGAGCGGCGAACGGGUGAGUAACACGUGGGUGACCUGCCUCUAGCUCUGGGAUAAGCCUGGGAAACUGGGUCUAAUACCGGAUAUGACUCCACGGCGCAUGUUGUGGGGUGGAAAGCCUUGUGUGGCUAGAGAUGGGCCCGCGGCCUAUCAGCUUGUUGGUGGGGUGAUGGCCUACCAAGGCGACGACGGUAGCCGGCCUGAGAGGCGACCGGCCACACUGGGACUGAGACACGGCCCAGACUCCUACGGGAGGCAGCAGUGGGGAAUCUUGCGCAAUGGGCGAAAGCCUGACGCAGCGACGCCGCGUGAGGGAUGACGGCCUCGGUUGUAACC